CUCUCUUUCUCUUGGAUAUAUUUUCCUCUUUCCCUUUCUGCUUACCUCGGGGAGAUCCUAAUGUAAAAAACAGUGACUUAUA